rnacentral:pre_miRNA from 1 species
UGACAUAGCAUAGAUCUCAAUCCUCCAAAAUAAAUCCAACGGUUGAGAUUCGUUCACGUCAUCACGAGUUAAAAUUUAACUCGUAGGAGUAAAAAAUUUACUGGGAGUAAAAUUUCAGGAGUUAAAAUUUUACUAGAGUUAAAUUUUAAAUCGUGAUGACGUGGACGAAUCUCAGCCGUUAGAUUUGUUUUGGGUGACAUGUCUACCCUAUGUCA